AGUAACGGCGAGUGAAGCGGCAAGAGCUCAAAUUUGAAAUCUGUCUCCUUUGGAGGCCGAGUUGUAAUUUGAAGAGGAUGCCUCGCGGAUGGUGCCGCCCUAAGUCCCUUGGAACAGGGCGUCAUAGAGGGUGAGAAUCCCGUAUGUGGGUGGAUACCGGACGCGUGUGAGGCUCCUUCGACGAGUCGAGUUGUUUGGGA
rnacentral:rRNA from 1 species